rnacentral:rRNA from 1 species
UACCCGCACCCCGAGUGGUCGGGACGAUUAUUGGGCCUAAAGCAUCCGUAGCCGGUUUUACAAGUCCUCCGUUAAAUCCAGCUGCUUAACAGAUGGGCUGCGGAGGAUACUAUAAGACUAGGAGGCAGGAGAGGCAAGCGGUACUCAGUGGGUAGGGGUAAAAUCCGUUGAUCCAUUGAAGACCACCAGUGGCGAAGGCGGCUUGCCAGAAUGCGCUCGACGGUGAGGGAUGAAAGCUGGGGGAGCAAACCGG